rnacentral:rRNA from 1 species
ACAAGCGGUGGAGCAUGUGGUUCAAUUCGACGCAACGCGAAGAACCUUACCUGGGCUCGAAAUGCAGGAGACCGGGGUAGAAAUAUCCUUUUCUCGCAAGAGGCUGCUGUAUAGGUGCUGCAUGGCUGUCGUCAGCUCGUGUCGUGAGAUGUUGGGUUAAGUCCCGCAACGAGCGCAACCCUCAUCCCUAGUUGCCACCGGGUAAUGCCGAGCACUCUAGUGAAACCGCCCCGGAUAACGGGGAGGAAGGUGGGGAUGACGUCAAGUCCUCAUGGCCUUUAUGUCCAGGGCUACACACGUGCUACAAUGGUCGGUACAAACCGUCGCAAACCCGUGAGGGGGAGCUAAUCGGAAAAAGCCGGCCUUAGUUCGGAUUGGAGUCUGCAACUCGACUCCACGAAGCUGGAAUCGCUAGUAAUCGCAGAUCAGAACGCUGCGGUGAAUACGUUCCCGGGC